CUGAAACUACGCCUGCAGCCUGAAACAUGACACGAAACCUGACCUGAACUCUUCUGUCAGCAGCAGUGUGACAGGCGAUGAACGCAACAACUCUGUGACGCUGCUACAGAACCAUCCAGAACCAGGGAAGAAGAAUGCAAGAAUGUUACGUGACAGCGUGAGGGAGGUCUGUCGAAAUCCAAAUCAGUAGGCCUGUGUGGGCUUCAAUACAGAAUAUGCUGGGCAAGAUUUAAGAUGUCGAUCAAAUAGAGAAACUGAAAUCAGAUGGUGGAGAGAUGAACUUACUGCCACAGCUAUCAUGGAGUCGUCUGGUUUCCAUUCUGCCUUCUGGUAGGAGCCGAACUGGGCCGCCGCCUUUGCAGAUUCGAUAUAGCUGACAAUCAAAACACUGGGCUGUGGGUGCAGAAAAGGGACAUGGGAAAGAAAAAUGAGCUCUUUAAACAUCUUUAAAGUCACAGACAUCUGUGGGCUAUAUUAAGCAAAACACAAACAAAACACCUCCCACAAUAGUACACUGCUGUGCUGUUACUAGAAAAAACAUGUCAAUACAAUGAUAUGAAGGUCUGAAAAUAUGGUUUGUCUUUGAAUGUGGUUUAUAACCUCAGUUUUAUAAUCCAAUUUGUGACAAAAACGCAGCAUGGCUUAAAUAUUGAUCCAUUAUCAGACAAUUCCAAGCCAUGAAUAUAGAAUGUAUCACAAACACCAUGCGCACUCACUCAGCAAUGACACAGUACAGAUACGACUCUGCUGAGAAAUAAAUGGGAUUGUUAUGAUACUUGA